AUUGAACGCUGGCGGCAGGCCUAACACAUGCAAGUCGAGCGGAUGAAGGGAGCUUGCUCCUGGAUUCAGCGGCGGACGGGUGAGUAAUGCCUAGGAAUCUGCCUGGUAGUGGGGGAUAACGUCCGGAAACGGGCGCUAAUACCGCAUACGUCCUGAGGGAGAAAGUGGGGGUUCUUCGGACCUCACGCUAUCAGAUGAGCCUAGGUCGGAUUAGCUAGUUGGUGGGGUAAAGGCCUACCAAGGCGACGAUCCGUAACUGGUCUGAGAGGAUGAUCAGUCACACUGGAACUGAGACACGGUCCAGACUCCUACGGGAGGCAGCAGUAGGGAAUAUUGGACAAUGGGCGAAAGCCUGACCCAGCCAUGCCGCGUGUGUGAAGAAGGUCUUCGGAUUGUAAAGCACUUUUAGUUGGGAGGAAGGACAGUAAGUUAAUACCUUGCUGUUUUGACGUUACCAACAGAGUAAGCACCGGCUAACUUCGUG
rnacentral:rRNA from 1 species